GCGCGUUUCUGGCCCUGCCAGUGUCUCCGCCGGUUGAAAGCGCGUGUCUGCGUCGGGUUCUGUUGGAGUGCGUUCGGUGCGCCGUGGGUCCGCGCUGCUUCCACCCAACUUCCUGUUAGUUUCUCUCCUGUCACAAUGGCAUGAUCUCGGCUCACUGCGACCUCUGCUUCCUGGGUUCAAGGAUUCUCCUGCCUCAGCCUCCCAAGUAGCUGGGAUUACAGUUUCCAUCAUUAUCUUCUAUGGAGUUCUUCAUUCCCACAUCUGUGGACCUUAAAAUCCUACCGUUGAGUGCCUGCCUUGGAUCAGCAGUCAGUUCGUUACCUUGGUUCUCAGACGAUGCUUGCAACAACGCCAUGCGAUUCGCCCACUCUUGGGCAGAGAAGCCUUCAGAGAAGGAUCCUGACUCGGUGGUUUGUGCAGUGACAUUUGGCAGUGUUUUCUCGGCAAGCGAGUCUUUGAGGCUGCCCUCAUGCUGCUCAGUGGGCACACCAAGAACAAGAGCUGGCCAGGGAUGACGGACGCAUCUAGGCCUUCUCGGCCUAAGGGUUACAUUAGUUAUACACUCUGGAGGUGACUUGACCUGUCAUUGUGAACAAUUAUUGCUCUUGGACGACCCAGGACAUAGGCCAGCCA
rnacentral:lncRNA from 10 species